rnacentral:rRNA from 1 species
GAUGAACGCUGGCGGCGUGCCUAAUACAUGCAAGUCGAGCGAACAGAUGAGGAGCUUGCUCCUCUGACGUUAGCGGCGGACGGGUGAGUAACACGUGGAUAACCUACCUAUAAGACUGGGAUAACUUCGGGAAACCGGAGCUAAUACCGGAUAAUAUAUUGAACCGCAUGGUUCAAUAGUGAAAGACGGUUUUGCUGUCACUUAUAGAUGGAUCCGCGCCGCAUUAGCUAGUUGGUAAGGUAACGGCUUACCAAGGCGACGAUGCGUAGCCGACCUGAGAGGGUGGUCGGCCACACGGGAAGUGAGACACGGUCCAGACUCCUGCGGGAGGCAGCAGUAGGGAAUCUUCCGCAAUGGGGGAGAGGCUGACGGAGCGACGCGGCGUGAGUGAUGAAGGUCUUCGGAUCGGAAAACUCUGUUAUUAGGGAAGAACAAAUGUGUAAGUAACUAUGCACGUCUUGACGGUACCUGGUCAGGAAGCCACGGCUAACUACGUG